rnacentral:rRNA from 1 species
GACGAACGCUGGCGGUGUGCUUAACACAUGCAAGUGGUGCGACGAACCUGGCUUCGGCCAGGGGCAAAGCCGCGAACGGGUGAGUAACACGUGGGUAAUCUGCCCCGAUGACUGGGACAACCCGAGGAAACUCGGGCUAAUACCGGAUGUGGUGCCUGGACAUAAGUCUGGUCACUAAAGGUAGCUUCGGCUUCCGCAUUGGGAGGGGCCCGCGGCCCAUUAGCUUGUUGGUGGGGUCAAGGCCUACCAAGGCAACGAUGGGUAGCUGGUCUGAGAGGACGAUCAGCCACACUGGGACUGAGACACGGCCCAGACUCCUACGGGAGGCAGCAGUGGGGAAUCUUGCGCAAUGCGCGAAAGCGUGACGCAGCAACACCGCGUGAGGGAAGACGGCCUUAGGGUUGUAAACCUCUUUCAGAUGGGACGAAGGUUGUCCGGUGAAUAGCCGAGAUGAUUGACGGUACCGUCAGAAGAAGCUCCGGCUAACUACGUGCCAGCAGCCGCCGUAACAC